rnacentral:rRNA from 1 species
UACGAAGGGGGCUAGCGUUGCUCGGAAUCACUGGGCGUAAAGCGCACGUAGGCGGACUCUUAAGUCGGUGGUGAAAUCCUGGAGCUCAACUCCAGAACUGCCUUCGAUACUGGGAGUCUCGAGUCCGAGAGAGGUGAGUGGAAUGCCGAGUGUAGAGGUGAAAUUCGUAGAUAUUCGGCGGAACACCAGUGGCGAAGGCGAACUCACUGGCCCGAUACUGAC